UCCUACCGUCAAGCAAAUUUGUAUCCAGUUGGCUCGCUCUUCCUGGAUCCCAUGUGAUCUAACCUUACUAAUCAGUCUACCAAGUGGAACCUUGUCAAACUUCUGUAUUCAAGUGCAUUUAAGAUUAUUUUUCUCCAACCUUUUCUCCUCUUACCAAGUACAGAUUUCAGCCAGGGUACAGUUUCAAAGCACUGGCUUUUCUCUUCAUCCAAGUGUCAUUUUCAUCUAAACUGUAAUUUUGGCAACUUGUUCCACAGUGAAAUAGAGUUGCAUUUAACUUGUCUUUAUCUACUAUUCAUGUAUGUAUGUAACAGCCACUGUUUACAAUCCCCUUAUCAGCAAUCUCUCCCUCUAAAAUGUCAACUUCCAACACAGAUCAAGAUUUGCAUAUGGUUUUCUCUUCAGUGACUUAAGUGCAAAAUCAGAUGGUGCAAUUUAUCCACUGUUGCUUUGAGGAAACUUAUUUUUCCUCUUUGUUUGGAUGUCGUGGAGCAACACACCAUCCUAAGAGAUUCUGAGACUAAACACUAAGGGGAGGAAGCAGUGUAAGCUAUUAUGAACAGGCUUUAUGAUAAAAUAAUGAUAAUCAGAGAGCAAAGACAGUUACUUAUGUUUUGUUGUGGCUAUUUCUCCUCCUCCUCCCCUGAAGCUAUCAUUAUUUGCUAAGAAUUGGACAGUCGCUGGACCUACUGAUAGGUCAGCAGUGAAAUCAUUGUUCAUUUGAGAGUCUCCACAGAGUGUGGGCAACACAACAGCAGUUAAUUGAAGAUAACAAGGUGUAGAGCUGGAUGAACACAGCAGGCCGAGCAGGAAAGCUGACGUUUCGGGUCGAGACCCUUCUCCAGCAUCGGCAGUUCCUACUAUCUUUGUAGCAGUUAAUUGAAGGUGUAAUCAAAAUUAGUCCUGUUCCGUUCCUCUCCUGUUGUACCUGUGUACAUUUUUUAAAGGGUGCAUCUACUUACCUUUUCCGGUAGUGUGCCUCAUACAGCCAUUGGCAAACAAAAUUAGCUAAACUAGUCCAGAUCAGGAUUCUUCAGGUCCAUGUGACUCAACUAUUUGCUGCAGGGGCAAGGCAAUAAUUCACUGGAGGGGUUCCAAUGUAAUCAAGCCCUAAGAACAAAUUAUAUCUGAGGAACUACUGUCCUAGAUCACUGUGCAACACUUCCC